GACGAACGCUGGCGGCGUGCUUAACACAUGCAAGUCGAACGCUGAAGCUUGGUGCUUGCACUGGGUGGAUGAGUGGCGAACGGGUGAGUAAUACGUGAGUAACCUGCCCUUGACUCUGGGAUAAGCCUGGGAAACUGGGUCUAAUACUGGAUACGACAUGCCACUGCAUGGUGGUGUGUGGAAAGGGUUUUACUGGUUUUGGAUGGGCUCACGGCCUAUCAGCUUGUUGGUGGGGUAAUGGCAUACCAAAGCGACGACGGGUAGCCGGCCUGAGAGGGUGACCGGCCACACUGGGACUGGGACGCGGCACAGCCUCCAACGGGAGGCAGCGGUGGGGAAUGUUACACAAGGGGCGGAGGCAUGAUGCAGCGACGCCGCGUGGGGGAUGACGGCCUUCGGGUUGUAAACCUCUUUCAGCACGGAAGAAGCGAGAGUGACGGUACGUGCAGAAGAAGCGCCGGCUAACUACGUG
rnacentral:rRNA from 1 species